UGAUGUUUUUAAUGUUUUACUUGGACUCAUGGUUCUGGAGGCAGGAAGAGCUACGAUUCGGAGGGUGAGUGGGAAGCAGCAAGUGGAAGGGAAACCAGCAGACCUUGCCUUAAAGCAACCUAUUCUCAGGGUUGCAAGCCCGGCCCAGCAAGAGCAGAGAGGCUCCUGAGUCUGAGCAUCUUCUUCAGCCCCUGUGCCCAGCUCACACCUCCCCCCACCUCCUCCCACAGUGCAACAGGUGAUGGAGAGCCACAUCCUCAAACUGUUCCAGGGUACCCUGGGGCCUGCGGACCCGGAGUGAAGACAGCCUGUUGGGAACCCAGGCACUCAGGGACAAACCAGUCAGCCCACAACUGGCUUGGAAGGCAGCUCCUGGACAGUGGUGGGAAGAGCCCUCCCCAACAGGAACCAAUAAAUCUGUGCAGAACUUGAAGGGCUUCUGGGUGCCUCCCAGUGGGGCUUCCUGGAGGAAGUAACCGCCGAUACUUCUCACCCUGCCUUCUCACCCAGCACCCGCAGGUGGUAGAUGACUACACGGCCAAAAAAGUCGGUGGUAUCCUCAAAAGUCAACUUCAGCCGGUCCACCUCCAUGGUGGGGAUGGAGAAGGUGUGACCUCUUUUAGUCAAGGAAGUGGUGGUUUUGUCUCU
rnacentral:lncRNA from 1 species